CUGCUGAGAAGAAUUGCCCAAAGAUGUUGUGGCCACCUGAUAUGCUGCAUAUAGGGCUAAUGGGGCUCCAGGAGCUCACCAGGUACCACCGUAUCCUGGGUGGUUGUUCUAGCCUGACUCACCACUUGAAAAGAAAUAUAAGAAAAGUUUUACUUUGCACUGUAGGACUCAGUCAUCUCUUCUGUUUCUUGAAGUCACACUGGCUCCCAGAUCACGUUCCCAACAAUGAAUCCUUUGUCAGCAUCUCCUGUUUCAUCGCAGUUCUCCAACUUCCCCAGCCAGCUAUCAUUCCACUCCCCUUCGCCCCUGCAUUCCCAAUUGGCUCUUCUCUCAUUCCGACAUACCCUGCCUCCUUCCCUGUUUUCAUCUGGAGGUCUUCUACUGUCUCUUU